rnacentral:rRNA from 2 species
GGGUGGCAACCCUGACGCAGCAAUGCCGCGUGAGUGAAGAAGGCCUUCGGGUCGUAAAGCUCUUUUAUGGGGGAAGAUGAUGACGGUACCCCAUGAAUAAGCACCGGCUAACUACGUGCCAGCAGCCGCGGUAAUACGUAGGGUGCGAGCGUUGUUCGGAAUUACUGGGCGUAAAGGGCGUGCAGGCGGAUUGGCAAGCCGGAGGUGAAAGCCCGGGGCUCAACCCCGGAGGGUCUUUCGGAACUGCCAGUCUUGAGAGGGUCAGGGGCCAGCGGAAUUCCUGGUGUAGAGGUGAAAUUCGUAGAGAUCAGGAGGAACACCGGCGGCGAAAGCGGCUGGCUGGGGCCACUCUGACGCUGAGGCGCGAAAGCGUGGGGAGCAAACAGGAUUAGAUACCCUGGUAGUCCACGCCGUAAACGAUGGGCACUAAGCGUCCGACGGGUUCGACCCUGUUGGGUGCUGCAGUUAACGCGUUAAGUGCCCCGCCUGGGGAGUACGGUCGCAAGACUA